AUUGAACGCUGGCGGCAGGCCUAACACAUGCAAGUCGAGCGGAUGAAGGGAGCUUGCUCCUGGAUUCAGCGGCGGACGGGUGAGUAAUGCCUAGGAAUCUGCCUGGUAGUGGGGGAUAACGUCCGGAAACGGGCGCUAAUACCGCAUACGUCCUGAGGGAGAAAGUGGGGGAUCUUCGGACCUCACGCUAUCGGAUGAGCCUAGGUCGGAUUAGCUAGUUGGUGGGGUAAAGGCCUACCAAGGCGACGAUCCGUAACUGGUCUGAGAGGAUGAUCAGUCACACUGGAACUGAGACACGGUCCAGACUCCUACGGGAGGCAGCAGUGGGGAAUAUUGGACAAUGGGCGAAAGCCUGAUCCAGCCAUGCCGCGUGUGUGAAGAAGGUCUUCGGAUUGUAAAGCACUUUAAGUUGGGAAGAAGGGCAGUAAGUUAAUACCUUGCUGUUUUGACGUUACCAACAGAAUAAGCACCGGCUAACUUCGUG
rnacentral:rRNA from 1 species